rnacentral:rRNA from 1 species
AGUCGACGGGAUCAUCAGGCUUUGCUUGGUGGUGAGAGUGGCGAACGGGUGAGUAAUGCGUGACCGACCUGCCCCAUACACCGGAAUAGCUCCUGGAAACGGGUGGUAAUGCCGGAUGCUCCAGUUGAUCGCAUGGUCUUCUGGGAAAGCUUUCGCGGUAUGGGAUGGGGUCGCGUCCUAUCAGCUUGACGGCGGGGUAACGGCCCACCGUGGCUUCGACGGGUAGCCGGCCUGAGAGGGCGACCGGCCACAUUGGGACUGAGAUACGGCCCAGACUCCUACGGGAGGCAGCAGUGGGGAAUAUUGCACAAUGGGCGCAAGCCUGAUGCAGCGACGCCGCGUGAGGGAUGGAGGCCUUCGGGUUGUAAACCUCUUUUAUCGGGGAGCAAGCGAGAGUGAGUUUACCCGUUGAAUAAGCACCGGCUAACUACGUGCCAGCAGCCGCGGUAAUACGUAGGGUGCAAGCGUUAUCCGGAAUUAUUGGGCGUAAAGGGCUCGUAGGCGGUUCGUCGCGUCCGGUGUGAAAGUCCAUCGC